rnacentral:rRNA from 1 species
UACGAAGGGGGCUAGCGUUGUUCGGAAUCACUGGGCGUAAAGCGCACGUAGGCGGACUUUUAAGUCAGGGGUGAAAUCCUGGAGCUCAACUCCAGAACUGCCUUUGAUACUGAGGAUCUUGAGUUCGGGAGAGGUGAGUGGAACUGCGAGUGUAGAGGUGUAAUUCGUAGAUAUUCGCAAGAACACCAGUGGCGAAGGCGGCUCACUGGCCCGAUACUGACGCUGAGGCACGAAAGCGUGGGGAGCAAACAGG